GCCGUGCAACUCUUCUUUUCCUUCUUCAUUCCAGCCGUGCAACUCCAAGGAAAAACAAGACCAAGUUCUUCAUUUUUCCUUCAUCAAAUCUUCAUCAAACCUCUUCCAAUUCACUCCAAAUUCGAACUACACUUAACUAAACAUUUAGAGAUCCCAUUGAGCUAAGAAAAGGAGCUGCUAUCCAUGGUUUUCUUGAGCAUCUAAGGGGCCGAAAUUUCUGCCUUCAUCCUCUAAUCAAGUAGGUGUUAAUCCAACACUUAAAUCUUGCUUUAUGAAGAUCAUCUUGCAUGUAUAAGGUAGUAUUUGCAUUUGGGUAGCUUGUUUAUGGUGUAAAAUGAAAUGGGUGGGCUCUAUGAACUCCCACCUUUGUCUUGAGGACUGAUCUCAUGCUUGAUGAUGGAUUUAAUGGUGGUUUAGUGCUUAAAUUAGUGGAUUAAUGUUGUAUUGUUGGUAGAAAAUCAUAGGAGGUGCUUGGAGCAAAAGUGACCGUUUUACCCCUGCCUUGUCCGACCAUUUUUGUGCACAAUUUUGAGGUUCUAAUGACUUGAUUAUAUUGUUUACAUUUUAUUGUGAGUGUGUACAAAAUUUCAUUGAAAAAUAACAUGAUUUGGUUGGUUAAAUGAGUUGAUUUCCAAAGUUAGCAAAACUGGAAAAUGAAUCCCGUAUUGCCCAGGCAGUCAUCUUGUAUCGGCUAUAACUCUUUACUCCGAUGUCGAAAUUGAGUGCCGUCAGUGGCAUUUGAAACUAGACAUUCCCAGCUUUCCAUUGGUACCAAAUUCACAUUCUAGUUCCACUUGAGUGAGCAACACCAUUCGAUUGAAAAUCACUGUCCUGUUUCGUUUCUCUCCAGGAGACAGGACAGGACUUGUAUCUUCAUGCUAAAAAACGAGCUGUUUGUGAAUGGAAUUUGAAAAUGGUUUCUUCUGAGAAAAUUCAGAUUUAUGAGAGAGCUUUCCAACGCCAUCAACCACGCCCAAUUCCAAGUUGAAUUGAGUGAGUUGUGGCCAAAGUUUGAAACAGCUACAGUGAUAGAAUUUUCCACUUGGACAGAUUUGUAACUAACAAUGACUUGGGACUUGUUAUUUCGAAAUUCUUGAUGUAAAUCACCUAUCAAAUGUAUUUUGAAUUCUUGCUAGACCUGAUUAUCAUAAACGAGACAUGUUUUAGGUAUCUUCCCUUGGUCAAAAGUUUAGAAAAGGAAAUUUUCAUACACGAGGCAGCUUUGCCUUAAAAAUUUGGAAACUUGAGUGAUUUCGUUAAGUGACUUUCCGUGCAUAUUUUUCUAUGACAUUUGACAGAGGAAUAGCCCUUAUAUGGUAGUAUAAUCAUACCAAAUUUGGUGCCAUUUCGAGUCUGUUUAGAUGUUCAAACAAAGUCCCAAAGUUCUUGUUUAAAUCUGGAAAUUCUUGAUCGAGGAGGAAUUUUUAGCCAACUUUGAGCUGCUAUAUCUUGGCGCUCAAAACUUCAAUUCUUGUACCGUUUAUUUUGUUUUAAACUUUGAUUGUAGCUCUAAUUGAGUUCUAAAUUUCGGAGGUUAGUUCGUAUUGUAUGAAUUUUGCCGGAUUUUCAAAGAUGGUCAAAAACCAACCCCGAAACUGUCUAAAUGGUCCCAAGCAGCAACUUUGAGUCAAUUUUUGAAUACCUUCUGUUUGGAAUCAUGGAAAAGUAUCUUCUAGGAACUUUUAGCGCUUUUGAAGAAGUUUCCAACGGUAUCAAGCUUUCCAAUUUUCGACCUACAUAGUGCAAGAUACAAUUUUUCUAAAAUUGACACCCAAAGCUGAAAUUUGUCAAUUUCUUAGAAAAUGAGAUUUUGGAAACUUGCCUUCUUUUCUCGAUACCGAUUGAACAUUUUGAACUCGAUUUCAUGGAAAAUAUUAGUCUCUCUCUUUAGACUUUAAAACUUUACUCUUGAGCCUCGAUUAUUAAUAAUUAAGGCCCAAUUAAUGAAUUCCCCUUAGAUUGUAUAACCUUCUUUGAUAAGUAGGGGUUCUAAGUGAUAGUGUAUAAUAGUUGAUGGUUAUUUGCCCAGGCGCUCAAGGGAACCUUCAAGAGGAACUCGAAGUGGACGUCUAGACAUUUGUUUGAGUAUUACUCUCUUGUUGCUAUAGGUGAGUGUUCCAUAUAGGAAUACGUAAUUGGAAUAAGUUUAUGACAUGCAUAACCCAUGAUUAUUAAGUGUUAAGUGCUAUAUGUUAAGUAUUUACCACACUCAUGCAUAUCUGAAUAAGGUAUACUUGAAUUACUCGACAUGAAAUACCUGAAAUAUGUAUAUUUGAACUAUUCGAUAUGAAAUGCUUAAAGAGCAUAUUUAUGUGAUUACUUGAAAUAUUAGAUAUGAAAUGCUUGGAGAGCAUAUCUACAUGAUGUGUUUAAAUGAUUAAUUAUGCUAUGACAGCAUAAGUCGGUUGGAGUGAAUCUCCUCGACUCUUAUGUGGAAAAAGUGAAAACGGCCAAUGGUGGCCUAUUAAAAUGACAUAUGCCUACCAAUUAACCGUAAUUACCACCGUUAACCGUUUACCGUUAACCAUGUUUACUUACCGUUUUCUAAUCUAUUCGGCUACUUGCUUACUUGAUUAUCUGCUUACGUAAUCACCAACUUACUUGAUCACUUGAUUAUCAUGAAUCGCAUGUUAUAUGAAGUUGUCCAUCAUUGUUAGGCGAGUGUGUACUUUACCUCACUCGACCUACUCAAAUGAUGAAUUUUACCUUUUGCCGAAUUACUUGAUUACUUGUGCAUGUUGUAAGCUCUAAGCUGAAUUGGGCCCUGCUCAUCGUUACUAACCUACUCGAGCCAGGACUGGGCUCGGUCGGGUAGGUUGGAACCUUGGGACACCGUUUCGGUAUACUCGAGUACUACCACUGGAGGGAUAAGGUGAUGACCAGUCAAACCGAGGGGAUCCGGAAGUCAUAAGGUGCAGAUGACCGACAGAGUUCCACUGGAACACCGUAUCCUACAGUAUAUGUUUACCUGGUAUCAUGAUGAUUGUUUCGUGCUAAAAUGCCAACAUGAAAUCCUGAGCUAUGCCUGUAAUAAGCUCCAAUCACUCGUGAACUAUACAUGCUAAUGUCUCAUACCAUGAUAAAUGUCUCAAAUUACCCGUACAAUGAUUAUCACCUCAUGAUAACAUGCCAUUGUGUAACCUUGAACCAUGCAUAUGAUAUGCCCAACUUACUUGAUUUAUUUGAACUGUUAGAGUGUCUUGGAAUCUCACUGGGCUGUGUAGCUCAUACCACGUUGUGGAUUUCUUUUACAGGGUUCGAGACCAAGGGUGCUCGUGAGUAGUACUAGAUUAUUUUCUUUUGAAAACUUUAAGUUAUAUUAUAACGGAUGGCUAUUGUACCCUUUUCCGUUGGGUUGUAUUUAAGCUUGAAAGCUACAUAAUUGUAAGUGUGAGAUAUUUGAAGUACUUUAAUUAUGUAUUGAAGUUACUUAAAGUAUUUCGAGCUUUUGAAUGAUGGAUUGUAGUGAGUCCUGGUGAGAGCUGGGCAGGCGUUCCGCGGAUACCCUUUGGUUCGCCUUAGGGUGAAGUGGGGGCGUCACACUAUUAUUGUAAGAAGAAUGGGCAUUAUAUGAAAGAAUGUAGAAUCCUAAAACGGGAACAAACUGAGAAAAAGGGUAAUGCGAAAGAAAAAGGUGAUGAAGAGACUACAGCAGUUGUGGCAGCUCAUGAUGAUAUGUUUGUGUUCUAUAAUGACGGUCAAGUGAAUAUUCACUACAAGAAAUUUGGUCAUUAGUGACAACAUUUCCUAGUGAUGAAAAAGGUUGUCACAAAAUGCGGCCCAUUAGCAACAAUAGGAAAGGUUGACACAAUUAACUGAAAGGGGCAAAGGCAACAGUGAUGACUCUUAAAUGUCGUCACAAAUGGACUCCCGCCAAAGUGCGGGAAACUACAUCUGUGGCGACUCUCUAAAUGUCAUCAGUAAUAAUUCCCCUUUAUUUGAUAGUUUGUCCAUUGUUGUCACUGAUAAUAAUUGAUGUAGUUAGUGACAACUUGCUCUUGUCACUAUUUUAUCUAAAAUAUUUGUACACGUUUUAUAGCUAUUAUUGUGUAUUUUCUUUUUAAUGAAUUAUUAACUAUUGGGAACUCAAGUUUUUUCUUGCAAAUCAAUGCUAGUACAAUAAUUUAGAGCAAAAUUAACCGCUAAAAUAAACUAUUUAAAGCAUAACAAAAGUACAUUUUCACUUGGAGUAAUGUAACAAAAUUUUACCAACCAUUAUGAGUAUUUUCACAAAAAUAUUAAAAAGUACCAAUUGAUAAUAUAUUACUAAAAUUAUACUAUUUCAACUAAAGAGUAAAAGUAAAAAACUUUAUUUGAAAUUUUGCUACCAAACAAGUAGGGGGGAAAAACUAAGGAAUUGAAAUUCAUUGAAAAUGAAUAAACAAAGAAAGGCAUGGGUAUUGUAAAAGACUUACAAACAAAAAUGGACAAGACCAUCGGCUACCAACUCUUUCACUCAUUUUCAACACUUAGAACCAAUUCACCAAAUAGAACUUCUCCUCCUCCUCUCGGCCGAACCAAAUAGAGCUUCUCCUCCUCAUCUCGAUUGAUUGAUAAUGGCUCCGCAACACUGAACAGAAGACCACGACUGCCACCAACUCUUUGCAAAAGGUAUGUCCUAUAUCUUUUUCUUCCCUAAUUUUCCCCUAAAAUUUUUUGCCCUAAUUUUUUUUGCCAAGAAUUUUUGUCCAGUUUUUUUGGGUUUCAUUUGAUUUAUGGAUGGAAUCAUCUUUUCCUUGUGGAAUUUGUUUAGUUGUAGGUUUAUGCCCUAAUUAAUUUUUGCCAACUUUGUCUUGAACAAGAGAAGGGUUUUAGUGGGAUUGGAGUAUGGGUAUGUACGGGUUUGUGAUAGGUCUAGGAGGGCAAAUGUAAUACUAUAUUUUCGAGGGGCAAAGAUAAUUAGGAGAUAAUUUUGUGAACUUUUUGGCGGAGAGUGGUUGCAUGUGAGGAAAAUAAUUGGUGAAAUGGUGUUGGGUGAAGAGGGAAAGGGGAAAUAGUGAUUGGGGCUUCAAUUAAGUGGAUGAAUAGCCAGAGAUAUAGUUACAAGGUUUGGUGAAAUUUGAGCUUUCAGUUGUUGUUGUUGGGAGGAAAGAAUUGUACCCACUCUCAAGAACUUCAUUCGGCAUUGAAGAACUUUUGAGGUGGAAAACUGACAGGUUGUCGGCCUGUGCAAUAAUAAAACCUGCUCAAACUAAAAGUAAUUUCUGUAGAUAGCGGUGAAUAGGGUCGAAUGCACAGGGACUGGGAGUAAUUGUUUCUUUUCAAAUUCACAGUAACAAGGGGGUGUUUUUGCGCAGAGAGUGACAAUCAAAUAAAUGCAAAUAAAAUCCAAGGAACUACUAAAAAUUAAAUAACAAUUUACUAAAAUCAAAUGAAUGAUAAUUAAGAAUCUAACCAAGGAAUAACUUCAGCAAUGGUUUACCUAAUUGAUCAUUGAAACAAAGGCAAUUCCAAUUAUUUACUGAUAAAUAGGUUAUAACUGCCAAACAAGCGAUGACUGUCAACCCCUCCUUACUGUGUCGGUGAUUAAGGUACGCUCGUUAAUCACUACUCUAAUUGAGAAUACCUCCAAAAUGUUUCUUUCCUUGAUCGAUCUUCGUACUCUAAUCACUACUCUAAUUAUGAAGACCUCCAAAGUCAAAUCAUGCAUUUUCAUGAUAAAAAAUGGAAAUCUCCACGAAAACAGAAAUUUGUCCGCGAAACAUGGCUCAUGGACAGUCAAAGGUAUUUCGGUCAUUUCACAUGUUACAGUACUCGGAUUGAGCUGAAAUUAUACAGGCAACUAAUAACAUCAUUUCCUACAACUUUCAUGUUUUAACCUAAGACCGAUUCGGCCUCCAUCAUAGUCGAACAGAACCGGGCAGAACAGGGUUAGUUGAAACCCUAAACUAGAAUUUCCACACCAAACCAGAAAUUUUCCUCAACCAAUCAUAUUCAACAUAUACCAACUCCAUUUUACACUAUAACAAACCAUCAAUCCAUGACUAAACAAUAAUUACUAUAUAAAAACAGAAAAAUCAAUAAUAAAUCAAAAAUCCAUCAAAACUCCACUUCCAACCAUCAAACCUACUACAAAUCACAUAUUUAGCCACAAAAGCUACUAAUAAACCAUUAUUAAGAACAAACUAUGAAUUUGUACACACCAUACCCUGAUACCUCAAGAAAGGUAGUAGCUUAGGUUUCUUCCUCCCAAAUUGACUCCACAAACACCUUGGAAACUAUCUUGGCUAACACUUUUAUGGAGUGAUUAGAACUCUUGAUGGUUAGAACUCAAGGAUUGAGCAAGAAAUUGAAGUGGAAAAGGAAGGCUUCUCUUGCAUUUUUGCUCCAAGAGGUUCGGCCAAGGCAAGCUCAAAAUGGAAAGAAAUUGGUCAAUUUUGAGGUUUAGUAAAGGUGAUGAAAAUUAGUCAAAGUCCAACUUGCAAUAGGGUCAUGACACUUGGCACUUUUAAGGGUUUAAUCUAAUCCUCUUAACUUCCAAUGGUAAUUGAUCUAACCAAUUUCUAAUUAUCUCCUAACACCUUGUACAAUAAUAUCCCCGUAUGCAAAUUCACUUAAUUAUCGAAAUUUAACACACGUAAGGCACUAGCGGGCCCCACGUACAAUAUACACUACUAAUGUCCCAUAAACUAACUUAUACUUGCAAAAAUGAUUUCAAAAUUAUUCUUUCUUAUAAAAAAUCUAGCAAAUUAAUAUAAUAAGGUAAAGAAAAGGAAAAUUUCAUAUGAAGAAACAAAAUAAAUGAAUAUAAAAUAAGGAAAUUUUACGGGUCCUUUCACUCUCUCCUCCUUAAAGAAAUUUCGUCUUCGAAAUUUCUUUACCAACGGGAUUCAUCAACAUCUAAGUUAAAUGGCGGAUCAUACCUUCUAUGUCCUCAUACGAGUCAGGGGCUUGAUGUGACUCUAGGGAAUACACCCGAGUCGACACCUUCGGUCCAGUCCCUUCCCCCUUCGACUGGUUAGAGUUGGUCUUGGUUCAUUGUUGAUUCCCACUUCCUUCUCGAGAUCAGUCUGGGCAAUUAGCGAUUUGAUGAUCUGCACUCCCGCAACGUAGACAUUUUCUUCCUUUCUUCCAGCAGACAUCCUCCGUGUGAUUCGGCUUCCCACAGUACCUGCACGGACCACGGGAAGCAGAGGCCGAGCCUUCCCGGGGGGUAUCUCUUGAUGUCCCCAAAAAUCUUAUUCCUCUAGUUCCUUUUCCAGACUUAGGAGGUGUGGUCGUAUCUUCUUGCCCGUGGCCACUUUCAGGAGUAGCCCUUUUCUUUGCUUGGAAGGUUCUGACUUGUAAGCUCGCGCUUUCAACUCGUUGAGCUUUCUCCAUCGCAUCGCUAAAAGUAUUAAGUUGAGCUACAGCCAGGUCCUUCUAAAUCUCGACAUUUAGUCCCUGAACAAAACGCCUUAUCCUCCUUUGCUCAGUCACAAUUAGAUCAGGAGCGAACUUAGAUAACCUAGUGAACUGGCUCUCAUAUUCGGCGACAGUCUGAGCUCCCUAGCGAAGCCUAAUGAACUCAUCUUCUUUCUUUUCUUGAAUUAAAGGUGGGAAAUACUUUGCGUUGAACUCCCUCAUGAAAUUCACCCAUGUCCUCGGUGUUUGUUCUCUUUCCCAUUUCAAUCUUAUUAUAUUCCACCAAGAACGGGCUGCUCCCUCUAGUUGGAAGACAGCAAAUGUCACUUGUCUCUCUUCAGUAUAGUGCAAUGCGGCGAAAAUAUCGAUCAUUUUCUCCAGCCACAUUUCGGCAACGUUAGGGUCUGGCCCUCCAAGAAAUUUCGGUGGGGAGAACUUCUGAAACCGUUCGAAGGCUCUAUCCUCACCCUCUAUAUGAUUACCAGGGUUGUUAGGCUGAUUAACAGGAUUUUGGCCCUGAUGUUCCACUACAUGGGCCAAUAAAUCGGUCAUACGCUGGAUGGCAGCCGCUACCUGAACGUUAGGAUUCACUCUAAGUUCAGGUUUAGGUUCCCGAUUUUUCCCUUCAUUCGAGGAUUGCUUACGACCGCGUCCCCGGCCUCGUCCCCGGCCUCGUCCCCUACGAGUACCCUCUAUUUGGUUGACCAAGUCUAGGGUCGAAACGCGAAUAUAAUAUUAAAACAAAGAUAGGUAUGUAAUAGUAACAAAAGUGGACACAGCUCAAAAGGGCAUAUGUAUAUAUAUAUAAUAUAACUUUAUCAAGCAAAUCACACAUUAAUCGUCAGAUACAAGCAAAGAUAUGUCCAAGAAAGUAACAAGGUCAUAUUCAAAAUACACUAGACAAACUAGGCCCAAAAGUACAAAACAUCAAACUAAGAGCUUUCCAUUCACUCCAUCUACACCCUACAGGGAUACAGAGCUUAUAUCUUAGUCAAGGUUAAUCACACUUAAUGAAACCCUAAUAUAUCCCACGAAGUUCCGAAAAUCAAAAUUCUAAGUCGCCUAAGUCAUUUCUAACCUAGGCUUUCAUCCCGUUUCGUAUUCGGGCACAAGAAUCCAAAAUAAGGUAAUUCACCAUUCGAGUUGGCCAGUCCCAAGAGUAAAUCAUCUACAUUUGAAAUUCCUACCUGACAUAUGUAUCUAUAGUCUCCAAAUAACAUGAUAAAGGUUUGAAACCUAUAACCCUUCAUGAGUCAUAACUUAGGCUCAAAAGAGCACUUAGUCCUUUACACAUACUCACAUAAUCAAGCCAUAUUAACCCUCGGCCCAAGCUCACUCCGGGCAGAGACCACGCGAAACAGGCUCUGAUACCAACUGUGACAGCCCUACCUUCCCCUAAGGCGAACCAAAGGGUUCGGCGGACCGCCUGCCCAACUCUCGCCAGGACUACAGAGACACACAACACAAACCUCACCUAACUUGCGAUAGAAAUCCCAAGAAAACAACCAAUCGAAGGCUAAUAGGUCAUUUACACACAAGCUAAAUCGUUCCGAAUGAUAAUAUAGUGCUCGAACGCUUCGACGGAUGCAAAAAUGAAAUAAAAUAAAAUAAACAAAAAUGAGCCGCGGAAGAAUAGUGACUGCCACGUCACUAUCCGGUCAGAUUGGAGGCAGAAGCUGAUUUCGAAGGGUUCAAAAUCCCCUGCAAAUCCGGCCAGGUAUCCGGCCAAAACUUGGCCGGAUUUUGGGCCGGAUUCCGCGAACAGUAACUUCUCCAAAUGUUUCUUUCCUUGAUCGAUCUUCGUACUCAACCGAAACAAGUACACUUUAUCCAACACUCAUGAAAACACAUUACUAAAGAAUAUAGUUCACAUAUACAAGAGUAAACACUUUUAUAAAUCUACGUUCAUAAACUUUACAAAUCAAAGAGAACUUGGAAUCAAAAUACAUUUAGGGUUUUUAACUACCGAGGAGCUAUACAAAAGAACAAAUGAAUGCCUAACUAGCUCAACUCGCUUCUCAAAACAUGGUUCCGAAAGUUGUUCCUGUAAGGAAAACAAAUUAACGGAAACAGGGUGAGCUAGAAGCUCAAUGAGGUACCAGAACUAUAACAGUCACAAAUCAUGAUACUUCUCUUUAAAGCACAUAUACAUGUCAAAUAAAAGAAAUGAAUGAACACCACAAAUCAAAGGAUACAGGUGGCUCUCAGGAGCCAAAUCCCCGUUGCAGUACUUGAUCCGACUAUAUUGAUCCUCCGUCAACUUUCAAAUAAGGAAACCAAUUCAGUAGAACACCACUUUAACGCCAAAUCCCGUUCACCAAUCAUACCCCCUUACCAGGCCCGAACGUCAAACGAGAACGAAAAUGGUAAUACUCGAGUAUACCGGAAAUCUAGAGUCUCCAAUACCCAAAGAUUCCCCAAAAAUAGGCACCCAUGGAUUGUCAAUUACCUCGACCAAGCCCUUAGUGGCUCGAUUUAAUUAACUUCCCAUGAGGUUGAGCUCAAGUUUAACAGGAAGGUCGUUGGACACACUUCCUAACGAUCUCAUAACAAGCGCAAGUAACAAGUUCGAGUUCAUAACAAGUACAAGUAAUAGAUUUCAGUUCAUACAGUACAGGCAAGAGAACGAGUGUGAUAAAGUACACCCUCGUCUCAUUCUGAACAACAGUGUUCAUAGUUAUCCAUGUCACAAAUUUCAAGUAUAGAUGAACCAAUUAAACAACAAUUCAAGGGAAUGGUACACUCACCGGUUAAAGCAAGGAUACGCAAACGUUUCAACCAAAGUAGGGCUCUAAUCACCAAGAAACCCUAGAAUAACCAAGGUAAACAAAUAUGGUUCCCAUAGCCACAAAUUCAGUAAAUAAAAUGCACAAAUGAGGCUCGACUACAAGUCAUAGAACUCACCAAAUAAUGACUCAUGUAAGGGGCGCAAAACAUGUGAAAAGGUAACAUGAAAACCUAGGGCUCGAACCACCCCAAAAGCCCUUCUUAUAUAUAUCCCAAACCAAACCAAACCAAACUUGAAGAAAUCCUACACUCCCAAAAUUUGGACAGCAUAUCCCCUACAUUUCCUUAUUUUUCUAUCCUACAAUCAACACCAAUUCAGCUCAAAUCAACCACAUACCAAUCAUAGACUAUAACACACACCUUUCGGCAUAAUAACCACAACUGAGUCUACACUUCUCGGAUUGAAACGAAUUUUAUGGUGUUUCGAAGCCAAGACAUAAACCUACAUUUCUUAUGAAGACCUCCAAAGCCAAAUCAUGCAUUUUCAUGGUAAAAAAUGGAAAUCUCCACAAAAACAGAAAUCUGUCCACGAAACAUGGCUCAUGGACAGUCAAGAGUAUUUCGGUCAUUUCACAUGCUACAGUGCUUGGAUUGAGUUGAAAUUUUACAGGCAGCUAUAAAACAUCAUUUCCUACAUUCAUGUUUUAACCUAAGGCCGAUUCGGCUUCCAUCAUGGCCGAACAGAACCGGGCAGAACAGGGUUAGUUGAAACCCUAAACUGGAAUUUUUGCACCAAACCAGAAAUUUUCCGCAACCAAUCAUAUCCAACAUAUACCAACUCCAUUUUACACUAUAACAAACCAUCAAUCCAUGACUAAACAAUAAUUACUAUAUAAAAACAGAAAAAUCAAUAAUAAAUCAAAAAUCCAUCAAAACUCCACUUCCAACCAUCAAACCUACUACAAAUAACAUAUUUAACCACAAAAGCCACUAAUAAACCAUUAUUAAGAACAAAAUAUGAAUUUGUACACACCAUACCCUGAUACCUCAAGAAAGGUAGUAGCUUAGGUUUCUUCCUCCCAAAUUGACUCCACAAACACCUUGGAAACUAUCUUGGCUAACACUUUUAUGGAGUGAUUAGAACUCUUGAUGGUUAGAACUCAAGGAUUGAGCAAAAAUUGAAGUGGAAAAGGAAGGCUUCUCUUGUAUUUUUGCUCCAAGAGGUUCGGCCAAGGCAAGCUCAAAAUGGAAAGAAAUUGGUCAAUUUUGAGGUUUAGUAAAGGUGAUGAAAAUUAGUCAAAGUCCAACUUGCAAUAGGGUUAUGACACUUGGCACCUUUAAGGGUUUGAUCUAAUCCUCUUAACUUCCAAUGGUAAUUGAUCUAACCAAUUUCUAAUUAACUCCUAACACCUUGUACAAUAAUAUCCCCGUAUGCAAAUUCACUUAAUUAUUGAAAUUUAACACACGUAACGCACUAGCGGGCCCCACAUACAAUAUACACUACUAAUGUCCCAUAAACUAACUUAUACUUGCAAAAAUGAUUUCAAAAUUAUUCUUUCUUAUAAAAAAUCUAGCAAAUUAAUAUAAUAAGGUAAAGAAAAGGAAAAUUUCAUAUGAAGAAAUAAAAUAAGAAAAUUUUACGGGUCCUUACACCAUCAAUGUUAUCUUGGAACCUUUUCUUUUUGUUCACUUGUCCUUGCAUGUUAUGCAACGUCAUCGGUCCUCCACCAUGUUUAGUAGUUACCAAGAAUAAUUUGGAUUAAUUGGAUUGGAAGAAAUUUCUUCUUUGUCUUUUUGGAGCUUUAAUUAAGAGAUGAAGAUUCAAAUUUCUUGAUUUCGUCAAUACAUACAUACAUAUAUAUAUAUAUAUAUAUUUAUGAAAAAUAUGUUCGAGACCAAGGUGACAAUAAUGUCAAAUUCAUUUGAGGCAAUUAAGACUUAAGAGUAAUUGGAUCAAAUAGAACCAAUAAAUUUGGUUCGUGAUACACAUAUACAAGGGAAACCAAAAACACUUCAGUCCAUAAUUACUUUCUUUGGGAGGAAUGAAAUAGUAUGGUGGCAAUGACAUUGCUGUUUACUUUUGCUUUAACACAAACCACUUCUUUUUUUUUUUAUCCCCAAGUUAGGAAUUUAGAGCAAAAGCUACAAAGGUUAUUUUUUCUGCAAUGAAAGAUGUAUUUUUUUGGGUUAAAAUUUGGUAAAUUGACAUGGAAAUUUGAAGAGUGAACUGUUUAUCCAUUUGGAGUGUGCUUUCUCCUUCACAUUACCUAAGUUUUCUAUGUAUGGACCUGUUUCUUAUUUAUUUGGUUUCAAUUGGUAAUUUUUGCCUAUUUCCUGAAAAGGGAUCUCCUCAAUUCCCAGAAAUAGAUCGACCUUUGGACUCUUGCCACUCUUGGUUCAUUGCUUUAUGUUACUAUAGAUGAAUGCAACUCAAGUUUUGAUAUUUAAGAAAUGGGUCUCAAGAACCACUUGCAACUUUCUUGAGCUUCAUUUCAAAUUUAACAUGUCGAUGGAUGUAAAAAAAUUUUAUGUUAUUUACAGGAAAGGAACUACAAAGACAUGAUUUUGAUCUAAAAUUCAUGCAUUCUUGGGAGUUAGGAAGGUGUUUGUUGGAAGAUCUGCUUUGCCUAUGUCUUGACUGAUUUCUAUGAUGCAAGUUAUAGUUAUCAUUAAAAAGUAGCAUCUUUUCAUUAUUUUCGAGGGAUGAUUUUAUCAACUAGUAAAUAUUUCUGAUUUGUGUUUGAUUUUCUUGCCAAUUAAUGAAUAUGAUAGGAGUAAUUUUCUUUUCCUUCCUUUUGGAAGUUUUUGCAUGGUUUAAUUGAGUCGUUUGUGUGAGAGUAAUUGAUUCAGCUUCCUUUUUUUUUUUUUGCAUUAUCAUUUGCUGACUUAUUGGCCAAGAGGGCUCUCAAUUAGUUUUAGGACCAAUAAUUCUUUCUAUAGUUUUCUAGUGCUUGUAUUAGCUUCAAGUUAGCUUCUUAAUCUCUCCUGCAGUCGACUGAUUUUUGUUAUUAUUUGUAGCAAUUGAACCUGUUGACAGAGGCUUCGGAUUCGGAUUCGGAUUCGGGUCUAGGAUAUUACAAUCUUCCAAUCAAGCUACCGUUUUCGCUUGUGAUACCUUUAUACUCUCUAUCUCCUCUUUGCUUCUUUUUUUCUGUUAUUUAUAGCCAGUUUAUAGCCAGUCCAAUUUGCUAUAAAUUUAUACUUUCUAAAUCAUCCUAAAAAUUGUAAUGUUGCUAUACAGCUACUCAGUGCACUAUGUAUA
rnacentral:lncRNA from 1 species